rnacentral:tRNA from 2 species
GGGUUGCUAACUCAAUGGUAGAGUACUCGGCCCGGGUUCGAGUCCCGGGCAACCCA